AUCUAUACCAAAUUAGCAGAGAGAAACCAUUAAAAAAAAUUUCCGCCUCUCCCUUUUCCGUUUCUCUCUUUCUCCCUCACCACCAACUUCUUUGUCUGUAGAUCUUAUUAAUUCAAUACAUGGUCUUAGAAUCGACAGUGAAUAAAGUUAACGAGUCCAAGGUUUUGAGAUCCAUUCAGGGAUCUGGUGAUGAUGGUGUGGUGGUGACAGAAAAGUAAUUUGUUUCAAUUGAAUUUGAGUUUGGCCUCAUUCGUUAAAGGAAUCGAGGUGUUUAAACAAGAGGCCCAAUCCUAAACAAGAUACCAGAAGAACAACAUAUUAAGUGUCGGAGUAAAAGCCUGAACGAAAAUGGAAAGAGGUGAACUUUGGUUUAAAGAGCUAGCACCAAUCCAGAGGCAGGUUAUUUCAGUAGUCCUUCUGUAUGCAACUCAAUAACCCUCCAAGCGUGCUAGUAGAUGCAGCUAGAGAGGAUUUUUCAUCUGCAGGUUUGUGCGUGUUUCAACUGCUGCAUGUUUAAUUAUUUUUACAUCAAUGUGAAUCUGGCAUUUUCCCGUUGUUGUGCUUAUGUACUAUGGUAGGUCCGGAAGCCUUUUAGAGAUUAUGUUGUACUUGAGUAGGUUAUUGUUGUGCUUAUGUAAUAUGGUUUGGUGCAAGGUCUGACUUUGGGCGCAUACGGGUUAAGUUCCGAAACUGCCUACUUGAUUAUUAAGCUGGUUAGAUAUCAACAUUGGCUUCAUAACUUCUUUUAGAUCUAUAUCAGUUUCCUUUGCCAGGUAUUUUUUUGGAAAUAAAUAUUGUUGGAAACUUCGGCGAAAAGUUUCUCGGAACACCUCGGAGGACGUUUGCUAUACGAACCCCCAUUUUUCCUAAGUCUCAUCCACGGCUAUAUGUAGCCCAUUUUUGUCCACAGCACCCAUUUUUGUCCACAGCACCCAUCUUCUUAUUUGAAUUUGUGUUUUGGCAGGAAAAAUUAUUUAAUUGUGGCAGAUUUUCAAUCAACAAAAUGAAGGUGUUCUAGGGAGAUUCAAUGGCUGAUUUUUGGUAGGAAGUUGUGAUAUGGCCUAGCAAACAUGUUGUGGGCUUUUGGUUCGAUCAGAAGUGGCUAGAAUUAGCUGGAUAAUUCACGGGUUGAAAACAGAGAAACACGUGCAGGGAGAGUUUCUUCACGAGUUCUGGAAGAACUUGUGAGUGUUCUGCUCGUGUUUGAUGGACCGAGAAACUUUGUGAAGCAUGUGUAAUCGAAUUGGAGCGUGCUGAACCAGAGAAAACGCGUGAGGAGCUAAAACAGGAAAGAAAAUAUCUGAAAAUAUUUUCUUUCACUGCCGAGAAUUUGUGAAGUUAUGGAGGACAUUCGAUGCAUGUUUCGGGUUUAAAUAGAUUCCUUGGAGGUCAGAGAAGGGUCUGGUGAGUUUUGGGAGAAGUUAGAGGAGAUUGGGAGCCGGUAGAGUCGAAGAAGAAAGGAUGCAGGAAAAGUUUCUGCUGCUGCAGAAACUCAAGAACACGAAGAACAUAAGACGCUCGAUCGACUGUCGUUUAUCAACAGUGACAACGACACAGAGCCGUGGGUCGUAGUUUUCAAACGUCAACAACACUUCAGUUAUAUCGUUGUUUUGGACGCUUUCUGUGUGUCGUAAUUAACUGUUUUAGUCAAUUUUUCCCCUUUUCAUCAUUUGUAAUACACUUGUGAGCAUCAAUGAAAUAUUUUGAGAGGUUUUCCAA